rfam:Gallus gallus isolate RJF #256 breed Red Jungle fowl, inbred line TCD001 chromosome 1, whole genome shotgun sequence.
CCAAAGGCUCUUUUAAGAGCCACCACGUUGCCACUGGGGAGAGCUGU